ensembl:snRNA U1 U1 spliceosomal RNA
CUUCUUACCUGGCAGGGGAGAUACCAUGAUCACACAGGUGGCUUUCCCAGGGCAAGGCUUUUUCAUUGCACUCCGACAUGCUGACCCCUGCAAUUUCUCCAAAUUGGGAAACUUGACUGCAUAAUAGUAGGGAAUUGCAUUUGUGCUCAUUCCUU